UCAGAACACCUGGUCUGUAUACAGGGCUUAAAGUAAAAAAAAAAUCCUGAGCCUGAAACUUAUAGUGGUGAUAGAAAUUAACUAUACCGUUGCUAUUGCCACAGUUUAAUAAAAAGUGUCUUUGAAUAGUGCAAACAAUUGCUUCUAACAAUACAAUUAACAAGCUAAACACUCAAACUUAAAUAAGACUUCAGUACAUUUCAACUCAAAACAAAAUGUAAAAUGUCUGUGCCCUAAAGGUUCGCCUUACAGGCAAAAAUCCCUCAACAUUAAAUAAGAGUCCUUUCAGUCAAUGUUUUUGCAAGUAAUUUAGAACAUGCAACAUUACCAACGA